rnacentral:rRNA from 1 species
UACGAAGGGUGCAAGCGUUAAUCGGAAUUACUGGGCGUAAAGCGCGUGUAGGCGGCUUGGCAAGUCGGAUGUGAAAGCCCACGGCUCAACCGUGGAAGCGCAUCCGAAACUGCUUCGCUUGAGUCUCGGAGAGGAAGGUGGAAUGCUUGGUGUAGAGGUGAAAUUCGUAGAUAUCAAGCAGAACACCUGCGGCGAAGGCGGCCUUCUGGACGAUGAUUGACGCUGAGACGCGAAAGCGUGGGGAGCAAACAGG